UGGACUGGCAGCUGCUGGCCGAGGAGGGCGGCGGCGAGGCCAGGACCCGCGUCAAGCGCGCCCAGUUGGUGCUGAACUCGGAAGAGGAUGCAGGCGACAUCGAGGCGAUGCAGGAGGAGUCGGCGAACGAGGGCGGCUUCGACGUCAGUGUCGGUGGCGACGGCGCGGAGGAGGGGCAGGCGGAGUGGCUGGAGCGGCGCGGCGUCCCUGCCAGCGUUCCAGGAGACGAAGGUAAAGAAGAGAAGUGCAGCGGUGAUGAAGAGGAGAGGGAAGUGGCGCUGGGUAAAAACGAUGCGAAACCGCCGAAGUAGCGAGACACGGCGGGGUUUCCCG